UACGGAGGGGGCUAGCGUUGUCCGAAGUUACUGGGCGUAAAGCGCGCGUAGGCGGGCUGGUAAGUCCGCUGUGAAAGCCCGGAGCUCAACUCCGGAGGGUCGGUGGAUACUGCCAGUCUUGAAGGUGCUAGGGGGAGAUGGAAUUCCCGGUGUAGCGGUGAAAUGCGCAGAUAUCGGGAAGAACACCCGUGGCGAAGGCGGUUCUCUGGGACGGUACUGACGCUGAGACGCGAAAGCGUGGGGAGCGAACAGG
rnacentral:rRNA from 1 species